rnacentral:rRNA from 1 species
UACGUAGGGUGCAAGCGUUAUCCGGAAUUAUUGGGCGUAAAGAGCUCGUAGGCGGUUUGUCGCGUCUGCCGUGAAAAGUCCGGGGGCUCAACUCCGAAUCUGCGGUGGGUACGGGCAGACUAGAGUGAUGUAGGGGAGACUGGAAUUCCUGGUGUAGCGGUGAAAUGCGCAGAUAUCAGGAGGAACACCGAUGGCGAAGGCAGGUCUCUGGGCAUUAACUGACGCUGAGGAGCGAAAGCAUGGGGAGCGAACAGG